GAGCUGCCCCAUAAAUGAGGUUGGGGGUCCAGGAGGUCCAUGGGGUGGAGUCGGCUGCCCCAUAAAUUAAGUUGGGGGUCCGUCAGCUGCCCCACAAGUGAGGUUGGGGGUCCUAAAGGUCUAUGAGCUGCCCCACAAGUGAGGUUAUGGGUUCUCGGAGGUCCAUGAGCUGCCCCAUAAGUGAGGUUGGGGGUCCGUGAGCUGCCCAUAAGUGAGGUUAUGGGUCUCGGAGGUCCAUGAGCUGCCCCAUAAGUGAGGUUGGGGGUCCAGGAGGUCCAUUUGGGUUGGAGUUGGCUGCCCCAUAAGUGAGGUUGGGGGUCCGUCAGCUGCCCCACAAGUGAGGUUGGGGGUCCUAAAGGUCUACGAGCUGCCCCAUAAGUGAGGUUGGGGGUCCACGAGCUGCCCCAUAAGUGAGGUUAUGGGUCUCAGAUGUCCAUGAGCUGCCCCACAAGUGAGGUUGGGGGUCCACAAGCUGCCCCAUAAGUGAAGUUGGGGGUCCCUGAGAUCCGUGGGGUGGAGUCGGCUGCCCCAUAAGUGAAGAUGGGAAGUCCGCGGCUGCCCCAUAAGUGGCUUUUUUAAAGGGGUCCUGGAGGUCCACGAGCUGCCCCAUAAGCUGAG